AAGCGACAGAGAACUAAAGAACAUGACGGGUCAGUUAUUUUAAUAAGUUCUCCAGAGACACCAGCGCAACACGCUCACUUCUCCGAGGAAGCGUCAGCUCUCCAGCUCACCACGUCAGACGGCCUCCCUUGAAAUGCUAAUCAGGGGACAACGCUUCCCGCAACUCCCGCAGUAACAACCCACCGAGACAUUCUCGCUCAAGCAGUCUUUACGGCCGGAAUACUGCCUCCCCCGAUACAUUUAGCCAGCCAGACGUACCCUGGUGCCAGAAGAAAACACAAGAGGCCCAGUCUCAGAAGCCUACGUUCGUCAGUCCUGAGAUUUCAGCA